AAUGGAUAGGCAAAGUUAACUGGUGUAAGCUUGCACUGGACAAUAUUGCAUUGAGUUUUGUCUGCAGAUCUGUUUAUAACCCAGCAACAUUACUUAUUUUUUUGCUUGACAUUAUUGAUUGGGGUCAUCAAGAGGAUGGUGAGCCUAUUGUUCCUCGAAUAAAUUUCUAUACUUCAGAGAAGGUGUUGGAGCUUACAUCAAAGUUAGAUAUAAAUAAAAUAAAGUUCAAACCCUGGGAGGACACUGUCUAUGCCAAGAAAGGCGUA